GGUUGCGAUCAUACCAGCACUAAUGCACUGGAUCCCAUCAGAACUUCGCAGUGAAGAGUGCUUGGGCGAGAGUAGUACUAGGAUGGGUGACCCCCUGGGAAGUCCUCAUGUUGCAACCC
rnacentral:rRNA from 1 species